UUAAAACAGCACAUCCGGCCAUACAAGUUCCUUGAGCAGCCGCACAACCAAUCACAGCCAAAGGAGUACCUAAUCCGAACGUAACUGUGUGGAAAAAUAUUCGAAAUUUAGAAUACGGCGACUCUUAAAGGCUAAAGCAGUUUUAAUUGUACAAUCGCCGAGAAUGACGUAGUUCUUCUUUUCAACAAAAUAAAUCGAAAAAACCACUGGAAUACGACCAUAGAUAACUUUUAUUUUAUACAAAUACGACGACUUCGAACGAAUUAUUGAUAAAUAUGUACAAGAAUGAAGGUAAAAUUGGUGAUAAAGUUUGCAUAGCCAGUAAAUUUUUAUUCAAAUGCAGACAAGUGAUUAUGCAAUAAUUUUGUUCUUGUUUUUUUUUUUUUUUUUUUGUUUAAUCAUGUAAUAAUAUAAUUUUUAUGAUCGUGUUUUUUUCUAUUCAUUCUUUCUCAGUUGAAAAUUCAUGUUGAUAAUUAUUAUUAGAGAAUUUUUUGUACAAUGAUUAAAAUGAUAAAAUCAGAA